GACGAACGCUGGCGGCGUGCUUAACACAUGCAAGUCGAACGGAAAGGCCCUGCUUUUGUGGGGUGCUCGAGUGGCGAACGGGUGAGUAACACGUGAGUAACCUGCCCUUGACUUUGGGAUAACUUCAGGAAACUGGGGCUAAUACCGGAUAGGAGCUCCUGCUGCAUGGUGGGGGUUGGAAAGUUUCGGCGGUUGGGGAUGGACUCGCGGCUUAUCAGCUUGUUGGUGGGGUAGUGGCUUACCAAGGCUUUGACGGGUAGCCGGCCUGAGAGGGUGACCGGCCACAUUGGGACUGAGAUACGGCCCAGACUCCUACGGGAGGCAGCAGUGGGGAAUAUUGCACAAUGGGCGGAAGCCUGAUGCAGCAACGCCGCGUGCGGGAUGACGGCCUUCGGGUUGUAAACCGCUUUCACCUGUGACGAAGCGUGAGUGACGGUAAUGGGUAAAGAAGCACCGGCUAACUACGUGCCAGCAGCCGCGGUGAUACGUAGGGUGCGAGCGUUGUCCGGAUUUAUUGGGCGUAAAGGGCUCGUAGGUGGUUGAUCGCGUCGGAAGUGUAAUCUUGGGGCUUAACCCUGAGCGUGCUUUCGAUACGGGUUGACUUGAGGAAGGUAGGGGAGAAUGGAAUUCCUGGUGGAGCGGUGGAAUGCGCAGAUAUCAGGAGGAACACCAGUGGCGAAGGCGGUUCUCUGGGCCUUUCCUGACGCUGAGGAGCGAAAGCGUGGGGAGCGAACAGGCUUAGAUACCCUGGUAGUCCACGCUGUAAACGGUGGGUACUAGGUGUGGGGUCCAUUCCACGGGUUCCGUGCCGUAGCUAACGCUUUAAGUACCCCGCCUGGGGAGUACGGCCGCAAGGCUAAAACUCAAAGGAAUUGACGGGGCCCCGCACAAGCGGCGGAGCAUGCGGAUUAAUUCGAUGCAACGCGUAGAACCUUACCUGGGUUUGACAUGGAUCGGGAGUGCUCAGAGAUGGGUGUGCCUCUUUUGGGGUCGGUUCACAGGUGGUGCAUGCCUGUCGUCAGCUCGUGUCGUGAGAUGUUGGGUUAAGUCCCGCAACGAGCGCAACCCUUGUUCACUGUUGCCAGCACGUUAUGGUGGGGACUCAGUGGAGACCGCCGGGGUCAACUCGGAGGAAGGUGGGGAUGACGUCAAGUCCUCAUGCCCCUUAUGUCCAGGGCUUCACGCAUGCUACAAUGGCUGGUACAGAGAGUGGCGAGCCUGUGAGGGUGAGCGAAUCUCGGAAAGCCGGUCUCAGUUCGGAUUGGGGUCUGCAACUCGACCUCAUGAAGUCGGAGUCGCUAGUAAUCGCAGAUCAGCAACGCUGCGGUGAAUACGUUCCCGGG
rnacentral:rRNA from 1 species